AGAGCCAAUGGUGAAUGCCUUGGCGCCGAACACCGAAGAAGGACGCGACUGGCUGCGAUAAGCCACGGGGAGCCGCCGAGUAGGCUUUGAUCCGUGGAUGUCCGAAUGGGGAAACCCGGCACCUUUAAUGUGGUGUCACUCCCGCCUGAACACAUAGGGCGGGUAGAGGGAACUGGGUGAACUGAAACAUCUAAGUAACCCAAGGAAAAGAAAGCAACAGCGACUCCCUGAGUAGCGGCGAGCGAAAUGGGAUGAGCCUAAACCGACCUGGUGCCAAGCCUGACGGCGUUGCCAGAUCGGGGUCGUGGGACCAAAUGGGAGGGGCGUCAGACCUUCCACAGAGUUAUAAAUCUGUCAGCUAGCAGAAGUGUCCUGGAAAGACACGCCAUAGCGGGUAAUAGCCCCGUAUGCGAAAGCUGAGCAGACUCUGAUUUGUGCUCCCGAGUAACACCGGAUCCGGGAAAGCCGGUGUGAAUCUGCGAGGACCACCUCGUAAGGCUAAGUAUACGUAGUCGACCGAUAGUGAACUAGUACCGUGAGGGAAAGGUGAAAAGUACCCCGGGAGGGGAGUGAAAUAGUACCUGAAACCAUUGGUUUACAAGCAGUUGAAGCGUAGUCACCUUCGGGUGGCCGCGACAGCGUGCCUUUUGAAGAAUGAGUCAGCGAGUUACGGUAUGUGGCAAGGUUAACCAGCGAUGGGAAGCCGGAGCGAAAGCGAGUCUGAAUAGGGCGUAGAGUCGCAUGCUGUAGACCCGAAGCCGGGUGAUCUAUCCAUGGGCAGGGUGAAGCGGAGGUAAGACUCCGUGGAGGCCCGAACCGACCUAGGUUGAAAACUGGGCGGAUGACCUGUGGAUAGGGGUGAAAGGCCAAUCAAACUCGGUGAUAGCUGGUUCUCCGCGAAAUGCAUUUAGGUGCAGCGUCGCAUGUUCAGUCAUGGAGGUAGAGCACUGGAUGGGUUAGGGGGCCUACAAGCUUACCAACCCCAGCCAAACUCCGAAUGCCAUGACUCCAGAGUGCGGCAGUGAGUCCUCGGGGGAUGAGCUUCGAUGGACGAAAGGGAAACAGCCCAGACCGCCGACUAAGGCCCCAAAGUUCUGACUAAGUGGUAAACGAAGUGGGAUUGCACAGACAGCCAGGAUGUUGGCUUAGAAGCAGCCAUCAUUAAAAGAGUGCGUAAUAGCUCACUGGUCGAGUGAUCCCGCGCGGAAAAUGUAACGGGGCUCAAGUCAGACGCCGAAGUCGCGGAUUUCUGCAUAGCAGGAGUGGUAGCGGAGCGUCGAGCCUGGAAUGAAGCGGCGGUGUGAACCGACGUGGACCGGGUUCGAGUGAGAAUGUAGGCAUGAGUAGCGAGAGAGGGGUGAGAAACCCCUCCGCCGGAAGUCCAAGGGUUCCUGGGGAAGGCUAAUCCUCCCAGGGUGAGUCGGGAGCUAAGGCGAGGCCGAGAGGCGUAGUCGAUGCACAACCGGUUGAUAUUCCGGUACCACAGGUUGCGCGACAAACGCUGACCUGCAGUUGCUAAGGGGAUGGUUGGUCCUUCGGGAUCAACAGGAACUAACCCACUGCGGCGAAGUGAGUGAUGCGGGGACGCAGGAAGGUAGAUGAUCCCAGGCGAUGGUUGUCCUGGGGCAAGCGUGUAGGUCGAGGCGUAGGUAAGUCCGCUCCUCAUAAAGACCGAGACGUGACGCCGAGCCGUUUAAGGCGAAGUCAUUGAUCCUAUGCUGCCAAGAAAAGCCGCUAGCGAGUGCAACAAGUGCCCGUACCCCAAACCAACUCAGGUGGACAGGUAGAGAAUACCAAGGCGAUUGGGAGAACUAUGGUUAAGGAACUCGGCAAAAUACAUCCGUAACUUCGGGAGAAGGAUGACCGCAUUAGGGUAAAAGAACUUAGCGUUCUUAGCUCGAAGCGGUGGCACAGACCAGGGGAAAGCGACUGUUUACUAAAAACACAGCAGCGUGCUAAGUCCUAAGACGACGUAUACGCUGUGACGCCUGCCCGGUGCCGGAAGGUUACGGGGAAGGGUUAGCUCUAGGGCGAAGCUCUGAACCUAAGCCCCGGUAAACGGCGGCCGUAACUAUAACGGUCCUAAGGUAGCGAAAUUCCUUGUCGGGUAAGUUCCGACCUGCACGAAUGGCGUAACGACUUUCCUACUGUCUCAACCAUAGACCCAGCGAAAUUGAAGUACGAGUAAAGAUGCUCGUUAGCUGCAGAAGGACGGAAAGACCCCGUGGACCUUUACUACAGCUUGGUAUUGGUAUUUGUUAUGCGUUGUGUAGGAUAGGUGGGAGACUUGGAAGCGUCUGCGCUAGCCGGUGUGGAGUCAACCUUGAAAUACCACCCUGCGUUUGACGGAUAUCUAACUUAUGCCAGUUAUCCGGGUCGGGAACAGUGCCAGGUGGG
rnacentral:rRNA from 1 species